UUUACAGACCAGCCCCCUUGGAGGCUCUCAUCUGUCUGUCAGAGAUGUUGCUUCUCAGCUAUAGAAGGCAAGUUCUUGAGGAGAAGGGGUAAACCAUGGCCUUUUGGGGGUUCCUGGAGAAGCUUCCAGCAAGUGGAGCAAGUGCCUAUUGACAUUUCCUCUCUCAACGGAGAGUCACCUUUCUCGCCAUAGAAGCCUUGAACUUCACCCCAGGGAUGGGAUGGAGGAUACAGCUCAGGAAGAAAAAAAAGGGAGUCAAAGACACAGAGAAAAUGAGUGUCCUCCAAAGCGGCGUGGUUGGUAUCGGCUCAUCACCCUGCUAAUGAAGAUAAGAGUCUUCUCUCCUUGCUUGUACUCAACAGUGAGAGAUUAUCAGCUUUGUUCUGCUUCUGGAGCCUCCAUAAACACCAGAGUACAUUUUUUCUGCCAUUUACCCUGCACAGAACAUGGAGCUUCUUGGCCCCAACCAUGCAUGUGGAGGACAACAGACUCAACAAGACACCUGAACUCCGGUAUCACAGACAAAGUCUGAACAGUCACGGGUGUCCCAUCUGAAGCAGCAGGAGAAGUGGGCAGAGACAUAUGGCCGGGCGUGAGUUCCACACCAGCUUCGGGCCCUGGAGCGGUGACUUCACCCAUGUGUGCCUCGUGCUUGCCUGUCACCCGGGACAGUACGAGCGCCGCCCACGGGACAGUUGUGACAAUUAACGAGUUUGUUUCCUAACACAGGUUCAGUAAAUGUUACUUUUCUCUAGCCGCCCGUCUCUGGGACCCAGUUGUCCACAGCGGACGUAGUAGAUCUGCUCACUAAACAUUUGCUAUUUGAAUA